rnacentral:rRNA from 1 species
UCGGGAAUUUUGGGCAAUGGGCGAAAGCCUGACCCAGCAACGCCGCGUGAAGGAUGAAGUAUUUCGGUAUGUAAACUUCGAAAGAAUAGGAAGAAUAAAUGACGGUACUAUUUAUAAGGUCCGGCUAACUACGUGCCAGCAGCCGCGGUAAUACGUAGGGACCAAGCGUUGUUCGGAUUUACUGGGCGUAAAGGGCGCGUAGGCGGCAUGACAAGUCACUUGUGAAAUCUCCGGGCUUAACUCGGAACGGCCAAGUGAUACUGUCACGCUAGAGUAUUGGAGGGGCAAUUGGAAUUCUUGGUGUAGCGGUGAAAUGCGUAGAUAUCAAGAGGAACACCUGAGGUGAAGACGGGUUGCUGGGCUGACACUGACGCUGAGGCGCGAAAGCCAGGGGAGCAAACGGGAUUAGAUACCCAAGUAGUCCCUGAGCGGGCUGGCAAGGCGCAU